rnacentral:piRNA from 1 species
UGGGCCCUACUGUCCUCAGUGAAAUAGC